rnacentral:misc_RNA from 1 species
ACUGUUAAUCUUUGCGUAAUGGGUUUAACAAAAUGUUAAACCCUA